AGCAAAUUNCUGGGCCAACAAUCCCAGAGCUGUGCUGAUGCAAACCACAGUGGACGCAGCACAGCAAAAAUGGCAGCUGAUGCGUUUAAGAAAGCAUUGGAGCCCCACUCCUUUCUUACAUCCAGCCAUUUGGAGGAAAGACCAAGAGGGGUCCAACACAGCAUGCAAGAUGUUGGCAGGAUGCCAGUGUUUACUACACAUCUGCUAAGCCUCUUGGCUUGAUCUGGGGUGAUCUCUUUUAAUCACCCUUUUCUCUAUGCCUUUGCUAGGGUGGCCAGGCNUAUUUCAUCAAUGACGGUGAGAAGGUGAACCUUUUUGAAUGGUUAGGACCACUGUUUGAAGGCCUGGGUAUCUCGAAGCCAUGGAUACCUGUUCCUGUUUUCGUUGUUCAUUUGUCAGGUGUGGUGAUGGAAAUGCUGCACUUUGCGAUGCUGCCGUUUGCUGAAAUUCCACCACUGAUCACCAGAAAUGAGGUACAUAAUGUGUCGGCCCCGCAUACGUUCAAAAUCGAUAAAGCGAGGGCUCAGCUCGGAUACAGCCCUAAGAAGUACUCCUUUGCUGACUGCGUAGAUCAUUUUUUGAAAACCAGGCCCCACAAGAGGAAUUUCUUCUUACUCAAGUGCUUCCUCAUCCAAGUUGUGCUCAUUUGCCUGAUCCUUCUGGUAAUAUAUUACCGAGAGGUUUCGGCAUUUUUGCUAGAUAACUGGGGAAAAUACCGGGUUCUUUGGGCGUAAGGCAGCUGUCCUGAAAGAUUAUGGUGGCAGAGAGCAGGAUUCUCGGGUCACACCAUCAGCGUUCUGGAAACAGCUUGCCCCCAGUUGGUUGGUGAGAAGAUACACUAAGGAAACUACAUGGAGACAAUUGUUCUGAGACGUUUAAUGCUCAGGAAGGCAAAGGAGAUACCAACAAAGCGAGCUCAGAUGGAUUGGAAACCUUGGAACGUGACCAGUUCGCUCCUAGAAUUCCUCUCUUCACGUUUGGUCCACCUCAAAGGAGAGUCGUGAGGGAACGCUCUGACAGAACGGAACAUCGGAACACACNCCCCCUCGGCAAAUCUCCCUUCAUUGGAGCGCCAGGCGUGCCUUCCACUGCUAUAACCGUGUUUGGAAUCAGAACCAAAUGACGAUAGAGAGGAACCCUGCAGAUAACAGGGGUACCAUCCCAUGUAGAACGGUUCCUCAGCCUUCAGUGCCUCUCACCAACUUACCUCACGCAUUUUAAGGCACACGAGCUGAAAUUAAACAAAAG
rnacentral:lncRNA from 1 species